rnacentral:rRNA from 1 species
GACGAACGCUGGCGGCGUGCUUAACACAUGCAAGUCGAACGCAGUGGCGAACGGGUGAGUCACGCGUAAUCAACCUGCCCUUCAGAGGGGGACAACAUUUGGAAACUACUGCUAAUACCGCAUACUGAAGUAGGGUAUUGAGUCUGAUUAGCUAGUUGGCGGGGUAACGGCACAACAAGGCGAUGCUCAGUAGCCGGUCUGAGAGGAUGAACGGCCACAUUGGGACUGAGACACGGCCCAGACUCCUACGGGAGGCAGCAGUAGGGAAUCUUCCGCAAUGGACGAAAGUCUGACGGAGCAACGCCGCGUGAGUGAUGACGGUCUUCGGGUUGUAAAGCUCUGUUGAUCGAGAAGCGGUACCUAAAUAGAAAGCGACGGCUAACUACGUGCCAGCAGCCGCGGUAAUUC